UCCCAGUCCCGGGAUCCCCAGGUGUUCCCAUUCUGUGAUCAGCACAGAACACAGACAACUCACCAUGGAGUUUGUACUUGGCUGGGUUUUCCUUGUUGCUCUUUUAAAAGGUGUCCAGUGUGAGGUGCAGCUGGUGGAGUCUGGAGGAGACCUGGUGAAGCCUGGCGGGUCCCUGAGACUCUCCUGUGCAGCCUCUGAUUCACCUUCAGUAGCUAUUGCAUGAGCUGGGUCCGCCAGGCUCCAGGGAAGGGGCUGCAGUGGGUCGCAGUUAUUAGUAGUGAUGGAAGUAACACAGGCUACGCGGACUCUGUGAAGGGCCGAUUCACCAUCUCCAGAGACAACGGCAAGAACACGCUGUAUCUGCAGAUGAAUAGCCUGAGAGCCGAGGACACGGCCAUGUAUUACUGUGCAAAGGACACGGUGAGGGGAAGUCAGUGUGAGCCCAAACACAAACCUCAAACAAAGGUGGUCCUAAGACAGAAAUAUACAACAUACAAUAAGGCCUCAAGAAGCAAGAAAAAUCUGAAAUAA